UUCCGGUCCGGUCCGGUCAGGUCGGUGGAUCGGUCGUCCGUUCAGGCAGUUUUUCCUGCUCAAAAAUUGAUGACAGCAGCAGCCCUGUAAUCGACAACAACAUUGAAGACUGCUAACUGGAAUUGCUUCGAACCAUCACCAUCACAAACGAAGAAACAACCACAACAAAGUGCUGCCAGCAACAAAACGUAAUCAGGAAUUUAAGCAAAACCAAAAAGAAACAUCAGGGACAGCGAGGAAGACCCAGAGAGCAUGUUCAUGGAAUUGUCAUCGUUAGCGCGCAAC
rnacentral:sRNA from 1 species